AGAGUUUGAUCAUGGCUCAGAUUGAACGCUGGCGGUAUGCUUAACACAUGCAAGUCGAACGGCAGCACGAGAGAGCUUGCUCUCUUGGUGGCGAGUGGCGGACGGGUGAGUAACGCGUAGGAAUCUGCCUAAUAGUGGGGGACAACUCGGGGAAACUCGAGCUAAUACCGCAUACGCCCUACGGGGGAAAGCGGGGGAUCUUCGGACCUCGCGCUAUUAGAUGAGCCUGCGUUGGAUUAGCUUGUUGGUGAGGUAAUGGCUCACCAAGGCGACGAUCCAUAGCUGGUCUGAGAGGACGAUCAGCCACACUGGGACUGAGACACGGCCCAGACUCCUACGGGAGGCAGCAGUGGGGAAUAUUGGACAAUGGGGGAAACCCUGAUCCAGCAAUACCGCGUGUGUGAAGAAGGCCUGCGGGUUGUAAAGCACUUUCAAUUGGGAAGAAAAGCUUAGAGUUAAUACCUCUGAGUCUUGACGUUACCUUUAGAAGAAGCACCGGCUAACUCCGUGCCAGCAGCCGCGGUAAUACGGAGGGUGCAAGCGUUAAUCGGAAUUACUGGGCGUAAAGCGCGCGUAGGUGGUUUUGUAAGUCAGAUGUGAAAGCCCUGGGCUCAACCUGGGAAUUGCAUUUGAUACUGCUUGACUAGAGUAUGGUAGAGGGAAGCGGAAUUCCGGGUGUAGCGGUGAAAUGCGUAGAUAUCCGGAGGAACAUCAGUGGCGAAGGCGGCUUCCUGGACCAAUACUGACACUGAGGUGCGAAAGCGUGGGUAGCAAACAGGAUUAGAUACCCUAGUAGUCC
rnacentral:rRNA from 1 species